rnacentral:rRNA from 1 species
AUGCAGAGCACCGUCGUGCUUUACACAUGGAUGGUCAGGGGCCACCUCCAUCCCAUGACACAGUUCGCCCACCAUCUCACCGCACAUGGCGUUCCUGUCACCGUCGCCGUCGCCGACGUCCCGUCUACAGGCAAGUCCUCUGAGACCAUUGCCGGCCUCGCCGCAUCCUAUCCUUCCGUCUCCUUCCACCUACUACCGCCGUCAGCGACCCGUUCCGCCCAGACGGCUGACCCCGAUGCCGAUCCAUUCAUCGCCCUUGUCGCUGACCUCCGCGCCACCAACUCCGCCCUCCUCGCCUUCCUGAGGUCCCUCCCGUCCGUCAAGGCUCUAGUCACCGACUUCUUCUGCGCCUACGGGUUUGAUGCCGCCGCAGAGCUCGGCGUCCCGGCCUACCUUUUCUUCACCUCCGCUGCGUCGGUCCUUGCUGCCUACCUGCACAUCAACGUCAUGCGCUCCACUGUCUCCUUCCGGGACAUGGGGCGCUCCCUGCUGCACUUCCCCGGAGUCCACCCAAUUCCGGCGUCCGACUUGCCGGAAGUGCUGCUCGACCGCGGCGACAGCCAGUACAAGACAAUCCUUAGCCUUAUGGAGCAGGUGCCAAGAUCUAAGGGCAUUCUGUCGAACACGUUCAAGUGGCUGGAGCCCCGCGCCGUCAAGGCGAUAAAAGACGGGACUCCCCGUCCCGGCGAGUCAGUACCGAAACUGUUCUGCGUCGGUCCAUUGGUCGGCGAGGAGCGGGGAAGCACCGUGAAGCACGAAUGCCUGAGAUGGCUAGACAAGCAGCCAGCGCGGAGCGUGGUAUUCCUCUGCUUCGGGAGCGCGAGCUCGGUGCCCGCAGAGCAGUUAAAGGAGAUCGCCGUGGGACUGGAGAAGAGCGGGCACGCCUUCUUAUGGGCCGUGCGAGCACCCGUUGCGCCGGACGCCGACGCAACGAAGCGGUUCGAGGGACGGGCCGAGGCGGCGGUGGAGCCGCUGCUGCCGGAGGGAUUCUUGGACAGGACGAGGGGACGCGGGAUGGUGGUUUCUUCCUGGGCGCCGCAAGUGGAGGUGCUCCGGCACCCGGCGACCGGCGCGUUCGUGACGCACUGCGGAUGGAACUCGACGCUUGAGGCUGUUGUCGCCGGGGUGCCGAUGCUGUGCUGGCCCAUGUACGCGGAGCAGGGGAUGAACAAGGUGUUGGUGGUGGAGGACAUGAAGCUUGGGGUGGCCAUGGACGGCUACGACGAGGCGACCGUGAAAUCUAGGGAGGUAGAGGCGAAAGUGAGGCUGGUCAUGGAGUCCGAGCAUGGGAAGCAGAUCAGGGAGAGGAUGGCGAUAGCGAAAGUGAUUGCAGCCGAUGCGCUGGAGACCGGUGGGUCCUCAGCGGCAGCAUUUGUUGACUUCCUGGAUGAUCUCAAGAUUUCCAUGCUAGAUGUUAUUUAA